rnacentral:tRNA from 1 species
CGCAGAGUGGAGCAGCUUGGAAGCUCGUCUGGCUCAUGCCCAGAAGGUCAUAGGUUCAAAUCCUAUCUCUGCUA